rnacentral:rRNA from 1 species
GACGAACGCUGGCGGCGUGCUUAACACAUGCAAGUCGAACGAGUGGCGAACGGGUGAGUAACGCAUCGGAACGUACCGAGUAAUGGGGGAUAACUGUCCGAAAGGACAGCUAAUACCGCAUAUUCUUCGAUCGGCCGAUGGCUGAUUAGCUGGUAUGCGGGGGAAAGGCCCACCAAGGCGACGAUCAGUCGCGGGUCGGAGAGGAUGAUCCGCCACACUGGGACUGAGACACGGCCCAGACUCCUACGGGAGGCAGCAGUGGGGAAUUUUGGACAAUGGGCGCAAGCCUGAUCCAGCCAUGCCGCGUGUCUGAAGAAGGCCUUCGGGUUGUAAAGGACUUUUGUCAGGGAAGCGGUACCGGAAGAAUAAGCACCGGCUAACUACGUGCCAGCAGCCGCGGUAAUAG